GCGUCCGUAGCUCAACGGUCAGAGCGCCUCGAUAUCUUAUAUACAAUGCUCCCAAGUUUAACGAGGAGACGUGGGUCCGACUCCCACUGGAGGUA